CAAGCGGUCCAAGCUUGCUGUGUGAGAGUAAUUAAGCCUCAUUAGGAAAAGCUGUUUUUAAUUUGCUCUCAUUAAAAACAGCCUUUUGCACUCUGUGUGUGUCUCUAAGGUGUACAGACACUCAAUUCACUCGCUCCCCGGUGUGCUUCAGAACUUCAUCGAACCAGACAACAAUGAAGGCCCGUUCCACACAAGCAGUGCCCAAGAAGAGGUGUCGUCGUGCUCGAUCCAGAACUCUUCACCAGGUUAGUUCAGCCCGGUCGUGUGCUCUGGACUUCCUGCUGGGUGCUCAUAGUUUACCAAGACCUGUUAUGCUCCGAUUAGUGAGCUCAGAAGCUUCAAGGGUCUCGAGAAGGAAUGGCCUCAGAGUUGUGCGUCUACGUGAUAUCGAUGCCGCGGUCGCGUUGCUGCGACGGAGGACGUGUACAGAGGUUGCUGCUUGACUUGUUGGAUGGGAACUGUAAUCUUUUAUUCGUUAUUAAAGAGUUUAUUUUUAAUGAACCCUCAA